rnacentral:lncRNA from 1 species
CUGGCAGUAGGUGGAGCAUGGAGAUUCCCCAGCAAGGUUAAUUCCCAUCAGAUAACAUCCACCACAGAAAAGGUACCAACCAAGCAGAUGGAAUGACUUAGCCAAAUAAUGUUAACCAGGCUUUGUUGCUGGCACCCCAAUGCUGGCAAAGUGAUCAAUGAACGGAGGAGCCAUGGUGGAGCAAAUGCAAGGGUUCAACGUCAUGGACUCAUCAAGUCUGAUCUAACUACUGCAUCAGUGAAUGUCCAGCUUGCCAGCAACAGAGACCAACACUUAGCCUGAUGUCACCAUUCCUCAAGGAAACCGUCUAGCCACUUGGUGGUGUUGAUGCAGAUAACUCCUCCCAAUAAACUUCCUGCAUGUGAAUCUCCAACACAGAGUGUUUUUGCCAAGAACUCAACCUAUGGCAGCAGCAAACCUCUGUGACUCAAGGAAAUCUCAGUUGGAUGUCCUGUCUCAUCUACUCAAGACCAGUAAGCAACACUUACUUAAAAAGAACAUAUUCUCUUUAUUUCUGCUUGGGAUACAAAUGUUCAGUUUGGAUGAUGAGAAUGAGGCAAGUACUGGAGACAAUGGCUGGC